AGAGCUUCAUAAACAUCUAAUGUUAUGAUCAGUCUCUCAUAGCCAGAAAUUGGAGUUUCUUCCCUGAGAAUGAAGAGUGUGACUUUCAGACAAAGACUGGGCAAAGGGUUUGGUCAUGAUGAUAAUUGAUCUCAGAUUUUUUUCUACUUCUACUACCUUAACAAUUGAAUUGUGCAAAUCCUGGUGUAGAAACUGAUACUGAUACAGUUCAAUGGGCAGGGGAUGGAUAUGAGGCCCAGUCAGAUCAAUGAAACACCAUCCUGGGAGAACAUGAGGAACUGCUACCUCCAUCUCACUUAUUCCUAUGGGCAGAGAGUGGGAGCGGCUGGACACUAUCACGUGGAGACUGAGGAUGAAGCUAACUCUUCUCCCAGCAAGCUGAGAGAGAAGAGCUGGCUGAGAUGACCCCACACAGCCCUUCUGGCUGCUUUGCCCUGUGUGCCACCAGUCGCUUCUUCCUUUCCUGGUCCAGAGCCAUCCUCAGAGGCUUUUCUGACAGCUCUCAGGGCAACCCAGGCUGAGAGGCACCCUGCUUGGAUACGGUAUUUCACCGCUCGGGCAUUCAUGUGCAGCUGGCUGUUUGAAAUCCUGCCUCUUCUGACUUCACUUCCUGAAUGUGCUGACAGGCCUCUGAGCCAAGCCAAACAGGUUCCCAACGCCGUGCCUGCAGAGAAUUCCCCUGUGAGUGCAGCUGGGGAAACAACUUUUCUCCAGCCCACAGAGAGGACCUGCCAGCCCUUAUAUGACCAAGAAGCAGGUCCUGGGAGACCUCGUUGAAUCUUAAUGGAAAAUGUUUUCGCUUCAGUCAUGGUGGUGUGUGGGGUGUGUGUGUGUGUGUGUGUGUGUAUGCAUCUGCACUGGCUUGGGCAGGGAGGUGGGAUUCCUGAUCAUUUCUUCUUAAGUUAACAGAUCUACAGUGGCAAAAUGACUAAUUAUUGCUUGCCUGUUAUAUACGGGGCAUCUGAACCUUCCAGCGUGUAUCUGAACCUUUCGGCAACCUUCUGACGUAGCCAUGGCUGACCUCAUUUUUACAAAAGAAGGACUUAGCAACAUUAAAGAAAUUGGUCUGCACCUCCCAGCUUUGAGCUUCCAGGCUGAACCCCUGGGCACCUGACUCCAAAAUCCCUGUGUCGCCACUAAGUCCUAAAACUCCACAUCUCUCUUUUAACUAGUAACGUCUUGAUUCUUCAUGUGGUCAGAAAGGUAGCAAGGAGCUAUGGAAAGGGCAGAGUCUCUGGUGUGUUCCCAGUUCUGCAGUCUUGCAAGUUCGUUUUCUUCUCUGAAUCUCAGUUUCCUCAUUCACAGUAUGCAGUGAUAGCAAUGCCUAUGGCAGGGAGGCUGUGAGGUUCCACUGAGAUAGAAAUUCAUGUGGCAGUACUACUCAAGGGCAAGGUCAUAGGUGAGCAAAGCAAGCUCUCUGGAAUUAAGAAGAACCUGGAUUCAUUUCGAGCUUCCCCAAGUUACUUAUUUUCUGAACCUGAACAAGACAGAAACCUCCAUUUUCUCACAUAUUAUAAUAAAACCCUAACAUUUACCUUGUAAAUCCUAGUACAGUGUCUGCUACAUAGUAGAAAUUUAGUAACUGGUGUGCAUAUUGAAUAUUUUACAGGUUUUUUUUUUUUUUAUUUGAUUAUAUGUGUGGCAGACACUUGUUCCUACUGGAGUGGUUACGAAAGUCUAGGUAAUGCUACAGUAACAAGAGGUCCUCAAAUCUCUGUGUCUUAAUACAACAAAGGUUUAAUCCUUGUGCCUGUUAAAUGUCUACUGUAGAUGCUGGGGGUGGGGAGGGACUCUAAUCUGCAUCAACGUCAUUUAAGAAUCAGGUUAAUAGAUGUUCCAUCUCUGUGCUUCCACAGUUGCCGAGACUGGGAAAAGGAAAUGUGGCAAAUCUCACACUUCCUCUUAAGGAAGUCAAGGAUGUCACCACUGCUGGUAUUUCAUUGGCUGACAAAGUCACAAGGUCUCUUACUCAACAUCCAAAAAGUAGAAGAUAGGGAAGUACUACCCUACCUUGUACCCAAGAGGAAAACCAGAAAUAUCUGGUGGAGAGCACUAAUGACUAUCUACCAGUCCAAAAGCCAUCCUCCAACUCAGUUAUUUCUUGAUAUCAGAGCCUUGAUUUUUACUUAUUUGUUAAAACAUUAUUAUUUAUUUGGCUGCAUCAGGUCUUAGCUUUGGCACGUGGAUCUUUCCUUGCGGAUGCGGGCUUAGCAGUUGCAGUACAUGGAGCUUGUCCCAAGGCAUGCGGGAUCUUACUUCCCGACCAGGGAUCAAGCCCCCAUCCCUUGCACUAGAAAGUGGAUUCUUAAUCACUGGACUACCAGGGAAGUCCCUGUUGAUGCUGUCUUGAGUCCACACAAAGAGCAUCUCUCACACCCUGAGGAUGGUGAAAGGAAAAAGAUGAAAGCCCAUGAUGAUGUUGCUGAGCCGCUAUAUUUGCCUAGGACCUUGUUUAAAUUGUGCCUUCUGUUACUGGCCUGUGUAAGCAUCCUAACUGGUAGCAUGAUUGAUUAUAUAAUGGUCCAGGUGCCUGCUUAUCUUUUUUCAAGAUUUGCCAUAAGGUCAGGAUGUUCCUCCCUCCAA